rnacentral:rRNA from 1 species
GACGAACCGUGCGAACGUUAUUCGGAAUCACUGGGCUUAAAGCGCGUGUAGGCGGGCCGGCACGUCGGCUGCUGAAAUCCCCCGGCUCAACCGGGGAAGGGGCACCGAUACGACCGGCCUGGAGGGGGGUAGGGGGGACGGGAACUUCCGGUGGAGGCGGUGAAAUGCGUUGAGAUCGGAAGGAACGCCCGCGGCGAAAGCGCGUCCCUGGACCCCACCUGACGCUGAGACGCGAAAGCCAGGGGAGCGAACGGG